UACAGAGGUCCCGAGCGUUGUUCGGAUUCAUUGGGCGUAAAGGGUGCGUAGGCGGCUUUCUAAGUCUGAUGUGAAAUCCUGGGGCUCAACCCUGGAACUGCAUUGGAUACUGGGAGGCUAGAGUACUGGAGAGGAAACUGGAAUUUACGGUGUAGCAGUGAAAUGCGUAGAGAUCGGAAGGAAGACCAGUGGCGAAGGCGAGUUUCUGGACAGUUACUGACGCUGAGGCACGAAGGCCAGGGGAGCAAACGGG
rnacentral:rRNA from 1 species